rnacentral:rRNA from 1 species
UACGGAGGGGGCUAGCGUUGUUCGGAAUUACUGGGCGUAAAGCGCACGUAGGCGGCUUUGUAAGUUAGAGGUGAAAGCCCAGGGCUUAACCCUGGAAUUGCCUUUAAGACUGCAUCGCUAGAAUCGUGGAGAGGUAAGUGGAAUUCCGAGUGUAGAGGUGAAAUUCGUAGAUAUUCGGAAGGAACACCAGUGGCGAAAGCGGCUUCCUGGUCCAGCACCGACGUUCAGGCACGAAAGCGUGGGGAGCAAACAGG